CCGGUUCGGUAGCGGCGGACGGGUGAGUAACACGUGGGUAAUCCUGCCCAACUGACUGGAAUAACGCCUGGAAACGGUGCUAAUGCCGGAUAGGCAACUGGUAGGCAUCUACCGGUUGGGAAAGGUGCAACUGCACCGCAGAUGGAGGAGCCCGCGGCGCAUUAGCUAGUUGGUGGGGUAACGGCCUACCAAGGCGACGAUGCGUAGCCGACCUGAGAGGGUGGACGGCCACACUGGGACUGAGACACGGCCCAGACUCCUACGGGAGGCAGCAGUAGGGAAUCUUCCGCAAUGGGCGCAAGCCUGACGGAGCAACGCCGCGUGAGCGAAGAAGGCCUUCGGGUUGUAAAGCUCAGUCACUCGGGAAGAGCGGACGAGGGAGUGGAAAGCCCUCGUCGAGACGGUACCGAGAGAGGAAGCCCCGGCUAACUACGUG
rnacentral:rRNA from 1 species